CCUUGGCAAUGUGGGCUUUUUGUUUCCAUAUGAAAUUUAAAGUAGUUGUUUCUAAUUCUGUGAAAAAAAGUUAAUGGUAGCUUGAUGGGGAUAGCACUGAAUCUAUAAAUUACCUUGGGCAGUAUGGCCAUUUUCAUGAUUUUGAUUCUUCCUUUCCAUGAGCAUGGAAUAUUCUUCCAUUUGUUUGUGUCCUCUAUUAUUUCCUUGAGCAGUGGUUUGUAGUUCUCCUUGAAGAGGUCCUUCAUAUCCUUUGUAAGUUGUAUUCCUAGGUAUUUUAUUCUCUUUGUAGCAAUUGUGAAUGGGAGUUCACUUGUGAUUUGCCUCUCUGUCUAUUAUUGGUGUAUAGGAAUGCUUGUGAUUUUUACACAAUGAUUUUGUAUCCUGAGACUUUGCUGGAGAUGCUUAUCAGCUUAAGGAGUUUUUGGGCUGAGAGGAUGGGAUUUUCUAAACAUACAAUCAUGUCAUCUGCAAACAGAGAUAAUUUGACUUAACUUUCAGUGGAAUCAUUUAAGAAUCAAAGACCCUUAAGAGGGUCUUUUAAAAAAGGAUUAUUUUAAGAAGGAUCUUAAAAACCAUCCCUUAGGCGGGGCACGGGUGGCUCACCCAGGGGGUCUUAAAUCUUAAAACAUAAAAAGGAACUCAAUUAAUAAAAUUUGUAUAUAGAAGAAACAGUAUAAAAUGUGCACAAGUAAAAGGCUGUGAAAGGAAAUUACAUGUUCAUGGAAGAGAUAUUAGGCUUGGCUGAAGCAAAGGAUGAUACAAUUUGAGGCAACAGAAAUUUGCAGAGGCCAAAGCAAAAUGUUUUGUAUGCCCAAACAUUGUCAGUGGAAGUCAAAUCAGUGCACUCUCUUUAGUGUGCCAUUUCACAAUAAUUAUCAGCAUUUAAACUGAAUAUCCUCCUUGACACAGCAAUCCCCAUCUAAGAUUAGUGCUUGCGAAAGUACAUCCAGAUGCAUGAAUGAGGAUAUUCACUGAAUCACUGUUCAAAAACCAAAAUGAAAACAAUAAAACAGAGAGAAACUAUAUGAAAUGUCCAUCAAUAAGGAUUGAUUAGAUAAAUAAAUUAUGAUCAAUCCAUUAAAGGGAGUACUGUAUAAACAUUAUAAACAGGAAGAGAGCACUAUAUGAGCUGAUAUGGAAAUAUCUCCAAGACAUAUUAAGUGAAAAACACAAGGUACAUAAGAGUUUACACAGUACCAUCUUGGAAAAAAACUUCAAGUAUUCGUGAUUACGCCAUACAUGCUGGUUUUUUUUUUUUUUUUUUUGAGACAGAAUCUUGCUCUGUUGCCCAGGCUAGAGUGUGCAGUGGCGCGAUCUCAGCUUACUGCAACCUUCACCUCCCAGGUUCAAGCUAUUCUUCUGCCUCAGCCUCCUGAGUAGCGGGGACUUACAGGCACGCACCACCACAACCAGCUAAAUUUUUGUAUUUUUAGUAGAGAUGAGGUUUCACCAUGUUGGCCAGGUUGGUCUCAAACUCCUGACCUCAAAUGAUCUGCCUGCCUCAGCCUCCCAAAGUGCUGAGAUUACAGGCAUGAGCCACUGCCCCCAGCCUUAUACAUGCGUAUUUUAUAUGCACACAGAUACAUGUGCUUUUUAUAUGCCUAGAAAAUAUCUAGAAAGAUACAGAAGGUUAUUUUUCACUCUACAACUUACAUACUCUAAAUUUU
rnacentral:lncRNA from 1 species